AUUGAACGCUGGCGGCAGGCUUAACACAUGCAAGUCGAACGAGUGGGGUACGGGAGAGUAAGGCAUGGGAAUCUAGCUUAUGGAGGGGGAUAACUAUGGGAAACUGUAGCCAAUACCGAGCACAAGAGGAUGAGCCCAAGUGGGAUUAGGUAGUUGGUGGGGUAAAGGCACACCAAGUCGACGAUCUCUAGCUGGUCUGAGAUGAUUACCAGCCACCCUGGGACUGAGACACUGCCCAGACUCCGACGGUAGGCAGCAGUGGGGAAUAUUGGGCAAGGGGUGAAACCUUAGUCAGCCAUGCCACGAGUGUGAAGAAGGCCUUCGGGUUUUAAAGUACGUUCGGUAGCGAGGCGUUAACUACAGAAGAAGCACCGGCUAACUCCGUGCCAGCAGCCGCGGUAAUUC
rnacentral:rRNA from 1 species